rnacentral:rRNA from 1 species
ACCCGCUGAACUUAAGCAUAUCAAUAAGCGGAGGAAAAGAAACCAACAGGGAUUGCCCUAGUAACGGCGAGUGAAGCGGCAACAGCUCAAAUUUGAAAUCUGGCCUCUUUCGGGGUCCGAGUUGUAAUUUGCAGAGGGCGCUUUGGAGUUGGCAGCGGUCCAAGUUCCUUGGAACAGGACGUCACAGAGGGUGAGAAUCCCGUACGUGGUCGCUAGCCUUCGCCGUGUAAAGCCCCUUCGACGAGUCGAGUUGUUUGGGAAUGCAGCUCUAAAUGGGAGGUAAAUUUCUUCUAAAGCUAAAUACUGGCCAGAGACCGAUAGCGCACAAGUAGAGUGAUCGAAAGAUGAAAAGCACUUUGGAAAGAGAGUCAAAAAGCACGUGAAAUUGUUGAAAGGGAAGCGCUUGCAGCCAGACUUGCCUGUAGUUGCUCAUCCGGGCUUUUGCCCGGUGCACUCUUCUAUAGGCAGGCCAGCAUCAGUUUGGGCGGUUGGAUAAAGGUCUCUGUCAUGUACCUCUUUUCGGGGAGGACUUAUAGGGGAGGCGACAUGCAACCAGCUCAGACUGAGGUCCGCGCAUUUGCUAGGAUGCUGGCGUAAUGGCUGU